GAUAAACGCUGGCGGCGUGCCUAACACAUGCAAGUCGAACGCUCUUCGCAAGAAGAGAGUGGCGGACGGGUGAGGAACACGUGGGUUAUCUGCCUUGAGGUGAGGAAUACCGGCGAGAAAUCGCCGACAAAACCGCAUAUCCUCAGUAAUGAGGAAAGUCGAAAGACGCCACAAGAUGAGCCUGCGGCCGAUUAGCCAGUUGGUGGGGUAAAGGCCUACCAAAGCGACGAUCGGUAGCUGGUCUGAGAGGACGAUCAGCCACACUGGGAUUGAGAAC
rnacentral:rRNA from 1 species